UAAAAGUUUUAUUCUUGCUUGUAUGAUUAGCAUUAAUUUUGUUUUACAUGUAAGUUUUAGUAUAAAUGUUGAGUUUGUAUCUUGAAGAUUAAUUUAAAUUAAGGGGCAGUAUUCAGUUUUAUAAAUUAAGGUGACUUAGAUUUAGAAAAUUUAUUGGCGUCGGCAAAAAUCGUGCCAGCCGCCGCGGUUACACGGAGGACGCGAGUUAAUAAUUGUUAGUUUGUUAGUUAGAUUAGUAUUGAUGAUUUCUUUGAAAAUAUUGAAGUAAAUUUUUAGGUGGAAUUUUAAUUUAGAGUGUUAUUUUCCUUUGUUGUUGAGGUGUUGAGACUAGGAAAUUUAAAUUUUAGACUAGGAUUAGAUACCCUAUUAUUUUAAAUGUAAAAUUUUAAAACUGGAGUAGUAAUAGUUAUGUUCUUGAAACUCAAAGAAUUUGGCGGUGCUUUAGUCCUUUUAGAGGAACUUGCCCCGUAAUCGAUAUUCCACGAUAAAUCUUACUUAGUUUUGUUAAAUCAGCUUGUAUAUCGCCGUCGUCAGAAUAUCUUAUAAGAGAAAGAAUUUUCUUUAAUUUUCAAGUGAAUUAGAUGUCAGGUCAAGGUGCAGCUAAUGAUUAAGUGGAGGUGAGUUACAUUAAGUAUAUUUAUACGGAUGGCAGUCUGAAAGAUUAUGAUUGUUUAAAGGUGGAUUUGAUAGUAAUAGUUGAGAAAAAGAAGCUUUGGCUCUUGGCUCUAGAGCAUGCACAUAUCGCCCGUCGCUCUCGUUAUUUAAGGCGAGAUAAGUCGUAACAUAGUAGACGUACCGGAAGGUGUGUCUGGAAAGUU
rnacentral:ncRNA from 1 species